rnacentral:rRNA from 1 species
CCUACGGGGGGCAGCAGUGGGGAAUAUUGGACAAUGGGCGAAAGCCUGAUCCAGCCAUGCCGCGUGUGUGAAGAAGGCCUUCGGGUUGUAAAGCACUUUCAGUGGGGAAGAAAGCCUUGGGGCUAAUACCCUCGAGGAAGGACAUCACCCACAGAAGAAGCACCGGCUAACUCCGUGCCAGCAGCCGCGGUAAUACGGAGGGUGCGAGCGUUAAUCGGAAUUACUGGGCGUAAAGCGCGCGUAGGCGGUCUGAUAAGCCGGUUGUGAAAGCCCCGGGCUCAACCUGGGAACGGCAUCCGGAACUGUCAGGCUAGAGUGCAGGAGAGGAAGGUAGAAUUCCCGGUGUAGCGGUGAAAUGCGUAGAGAUCGGGAGGAAUACCAGUGGCGAAGGCGGCCUUCUGGACUGACACUGACGCUGAGGUGCGAAAGCGUGGGUAGCAAACAGGAUUAGAUACCCUAGUAGU